CCCUACUGCUAUCGGGGUGGGACUAAAACAUGCAAGUCGAGCGCCUCCAAGCUAUGGUGAAGGCGCGGCAUACGGCUCAGUAACACGUGGCCAACCUACCCUUGGGACGGAGACAACCCCGGGAAACUGGGGCUAAUCCCCGAUAGGUAAGGAAUCCUGGAAUGGAUCCUCACUCAAAGGACAUUGAGUCCAUGCUAUUCAGCGCCGCCCAAGGAUGGAGCCGCGGCCGAUCAGGUAGUUGGUGAGGCAACGGCUCACCAAGCCUAUAACCGGUACGGGCCGUGAGAGCGGGAGCCCGGAGAUGGGCACUGAGACAAGGGCCCAGGCCCUACGGGGCGCAGCAGUUGCGAAAACUCCGCAAUGCGCGAAAGCGUGACGGGGCUACCCCGAGUGCCGCCCGUUGAGGGCGGCUUUUCCACGGUGUAAGGAGCCGUGGGAAUAAGGAGAGGGCAAGACUGGUGUCAGCCGCCGCGGUAAUACCAGCUCUUCGAGUGGUGGGGACGAUUAUUGAGCUUAAAGCGUUCGUAGCCGGCUUAACAAGUCCUCCGUUAAAUCCAACGAUCUAAUCGUUGGGCCGCGGGAGAUACUGUUGGGCUAGGAGGCGGGAGAAGCCGACGGUAUUCUCGGGGUAGGGGUGAAA
rnacentral:rRNA from 1 species